AGUUGAGCUUGCGCACGCUGUGCAGCUCCGAGGCCUUGGCCCGGGUCAGAACCAUCUUCCGCGUCAGCUUCAUGGCGGCCGCCCAGGCCCGACCGGCGGGCGCCCCCGGCCUCCUGAUCCCGGGCGGGUGACGACUGCGCGGCGCGUGUCUCCAGGGGCGGGGCCCGCGUCGUCAGGGGCGGAUCCUGAGCCGAUUGGCGGCUCGGUGAGGAGAGCGGGGCGACGCGAGCCCGCUGGGGCCGCUUGGGCGCCGCUGACACGUUGGCUCUGCUCCUGCUCAUGCGCGGCCUGGGGCGCCCUUCUCUGACGCGAUUCUAACGCGACCCCGGAAGCGCGCAGCGAGCAGAGGGUGGGUGCAGGUGGCGGUCCCCGAGUCGGCCCAGUGAGGGCUGAACUGCUGCUCCCAGGAACCGAGCGGGGUGGGCUCGGUCCGACGCGCAUCAUGGCCGAGUGCCUAGGCCUGACUCUGAGCGCAGGCCUAGCGUGGAUGGCAUGGGCGCUACACAGCUCCAAGUUACGCGAUUCAAACUCUUGGAAUAAACCCAGGGCAGCCCUGGGGCUGUGUUGAUUCCUUGUCUCCCUCCCUCCCAGCAUUUACAGAAAAGACGCAUUUAUAGGAAAGACGCACGGGCAGGUCCAGCAGAGCCCUUACAAGCAUUUCAACCUUUUAGAAAUCAGAUAAGACCCUCUAAACAUCGUUACAUGGGCCACAGUUACAUUAAGACAGGCGUUCUGACGUUCUGAAACCGCCUUUGCAAAAAAUUGUAUCGGUGAGAGAAGGUUGGCCUUGAAGGAGAUCUGGCCAACCCCCAUCUUGCCUUUGGCCUUAAAACUGCCCUUAAUUAUUCCUGGAUAAGCAAAGGUAACUUUGGGAGACAUUUAUAGUUUAAGUGAUAGCAGCCCUUCCUCAAAACUAAACAGCCUUUGUAAAGCUAAUGAGACCACUGAAACCGCCUUUGCAAAAAUCAUAACUGAAGAAAUUAUGACAGGGGAAGAUCUCCUCACCCACCCCAUCUUCCUGCUAUCCUCUAAGCUGCUUUUGUUCAUUCCUGGGUGUAGACCAGACUAGCCUUGGGAAGGAAUUUAGUUUAUAGAUUAAACUGAAACAAAAUUGAUAAUAGCCCUUUCCCAAAAAAACCCUUCUUGCCUGGGGACCAGUCUGCCUUUGUAGGACUAACAAAUUAAGCUACGAGAUUAAAAAUUACAGUUUAGGGGCCAUGCAACCUCUGGCGGCAAGAGUCUGAACCUCCCCAAAUUGCUUCUGGGAAUAACAUCACUGUUGCAAAACUUAAGGUCAGUGCUUGAAAUAUUUUGUAGACCCUGCAUUCAGAUGCAGCAGAUGACACCACCCAAACGGAUAAUCUGGCUCAACCAUGUGUGUGAUCCCACCCAGGGACAGAAGUCAGCCAGAACUCAUUUUGACCCCCUAUGAUUUAAUCUUCGACCUGACCAAUCAGCACUCACCACUUUCUGAGCCCAUACCCGCCAAAUUAUCCUUAAAAACACGGAUCCCCGAAUGCUUGGGGAGACUGAUUUGAGUGAUAAUAAAACUCUGCUCUCCUGCACAGCCAGCUCUGUGUGUAUUACUCUUUCUCCAUUGCAAUUCCGUUGCCUUGAUAAAUCGGUUCUGUCUAGGCAGUGGGCAAGGCGAACCCAUUGGGCGGUUACACUACCAGCCUAGAAGGAUAGAGGAGCAUGAAUUCCACUAAGAUGCAGAUGUAAACAUUCGUCAGCCAUUAUUCUGGAGGUCACAAGAUAAGCUACUUCCCCAAUUACUCCUGCAGGUAACAUCACUAUUGUACCUUUGCAGGUUUCUUGCAUGUCUCACACGGAUGGAUCCAGCUAAAUGUCUUGCCAACAGCUCCUGUGGCCCCACCCAGAAGCCAUGCAGCACAAAAGGACCAAAAGGACAGCUAGAUUUCAUCUCGCACCUAACCAAUCAGCACUCCCCAUGCCCUAGCCCCCUGUUCACCAAACUACCUUUGAACAACCCCUAACCCAUGAGCCUUCAAUUGUAACCGAGCAGCUUAGCAGCUGUGAAUCCAAAAUAUCUGAGACAGGACUCAAUCUGUUUAGAAAGUUUAUUUUGUCAAGGUUAAGGACAAGCCCAUGACACAGCCUCAGGAGGUCCUGAUGACAUGUGCCCUGGGUGGCUGGGGCACAGCUUGCUUUCAUACAUUUUUAGGGAGACAUGAGACAUCAAUCAAUAUGUGUAAGAUGGAAAAAGAAGAAAAAAUAUAUGUAUAAGAUGUACAUUAAGCCGGGCGCGGUGGCUCACGCCUAUAAUCCCAGUACUUUGGGAGGCUGAGGCAGGUGGAUGGCCUGAGGUCAGGAGUUCGAGACCAGCCUGGCCAACAUAGUGAAACCCUGUCUCUACUAAAAAUACAAAAAAUUAGCUGGGCGCGGUGGUGGGUUUCACUCGUGUCCAUGUGAAGAGACCACCAAACAGGCUUUGUGUGAGCAAUCAAGCUGUUUAUUUCACCUGGGUGCAGGUGGGCUGAGUCUGAAAAGAGAGUCAGUGAAGGGAGAUAAGGGUGGGGCCGUUUUAUAGGAUUUGGGUAGAUAAAGGAAAAUUAUAGUCAAAGGGG
rnacentral:lncRNA from 10 species